GUUUCUGUAGCUCAGUUGGAUAGAGCGUUCGCCUCCUAAGCGAAAGGUCGGCAGUUCGAUUCUGCCCAGGAACGCCA
rnacentral:tRNA from 1 species